GGGUUAUAGCUCAGCUGGGAGAGCGCCUGAUUUGCAUUCAGGAGGUCGUGGGUUCGAUCCCCAUUAACUCC
rnacentral:tRNA from 1 species